rnacentral:rRNA from 1 species
ACGUGAUCUGAGUUCAGACCGGAGUAAUCCAGGUCAGUUUCUAUCUAUAAAGAGAUUUUUCUAGUACGAAAGGACCGAAAAAACAUGGCCAAUGUAAUAUAUAAGCCAUACAAAAAUUUAUGUUUUAUACUUAAUAACAAAAAUCUUCUAUACAACUCUAGAAAAGAAUA